rnacentral:tRNA from 1 species
CCGACCUUAGCUCAGUUGGUAGAGCGCAAGACUGUAAUGGAUACUUUCCAUCUUGAUGUCGCCUGUUCGAUCCAGGCAGGUCGGA